rnacentral:lncRNA from 1 species
GCCUAAAUACUUAUACAAUAACGAUGAAAUCUCAAUUCUCAAAUAGACAAAAUUUAAAUAAAUAUUAUUCAAGUGUUUAUUCCUUUAAUCCCUUGAGAUGGCUCUCCUGCAGCUCGAUAAAACCAACCAACAUUGUCGCUCGGCCUGUAAAUUUAGUUCGAAGUAAAAAACCAAAGUAAAGUUAGUUAUUGCUACAGCCAAACGCACAAGCAAGCAUACGCGUAAUAAAGUUACUAAAAGUUGGAUGUCGAACUCACAAGAACUCGUAAUUAAUAUUAACUAUAUUAAACUUUUCUAAUUAUCUAAACAAGGAUUAGACUAGAAGUAUUUGAUGCUAUAGUAAUUAAACUAAAGCGAAAAUAACUAAUGAACUUUAAACAAAGGAAGAGCAGAUUUUUAUAUUAUCAAUGUGAUGAAAAUGAUCUAGGGUUAUGGGCUAUCUAACAUUCCUAUUGUAUUCUUCAAUUGAAUUGACUAACUAAUUUAUCUAGUUUAUUAGUUGGCAUGGUUAAUAUUGCUCAUAAGAAUUUGUCAAAUUCUUUCUCGCCUAUCCAAACUAACCUAAUGCAUAUAUGUCUAUGGAAUUAGAACUAACAAAAAUGCAUUUAUAAUUCAAGUGAAUCAAUAAAGUAAGACAAUUAGGUAUAUGUCUAUCCUAACCGCGAAUCCAUUCACUGAUGCCCAAGAUCAAGAACUUGCUCUAUAUAUGCAAUCUAGAAUUUUCACUUUCGAGUUCAACUUUAGAUUCGUAGAUAGUAUUCAAUUAGUGAUCAAUCAAUUAAAUAAUUAAGUGCAUGAUUGAAUAAACAAACUAAUACGAUAAAUCAAGAAAUCAAAAUCAAUAUUCGAAUAACAAUAGUCAUGACAGAACUACAACCCUAAAACGUGGAGUUUAGCUCCACAUAGAAGUGGUAGCCAAACAACAAAUACAAAGAAACAUAAAAAAAAUAUACUAAGUUUGGUGGAAGAUGAAACUGAUGAAUUCAGGCCUCCACGGAGGCUCUGUGCUUGUAUUUUCCUCUCAAAAUCACGUUCUCCUCCUCAAAAAUAUGUUUAGUCUUGCUAUUAUAUGUGUUCGGUAGGUCUAGGGAUGAAAUAACCUUGUCAUGCACAAAGUUAGACAAAUUUCGCGCAACCAGCACCCAUCCCGGCGCCAGGUGCUGUCCAUAGCGUUGUCAAAUUGAAGCUAUUGUUUCUGGCGCCACAGGGAGGCUAGGCGCUGCAAAUUCUAAUUUUUCCAGUUUUUGUCCGUUUUGGCUCUAAUUUCGCAUAUUUCGCUCUCAAUUGCUUCCGGAUCAUUCCUAGACAUAAAAACACAUCAAAUUAAUACAAAUCAACAUAUUUUACAUCCUAAAUCCACGAAAUAAAAGUAAAACAUGAGGCGGUAUACAUAUAAAUAUAUAUACUUUAAACUGAACAUCAACACCCCACACUUAAACUAUUGCCCGUUCUCGAGCAAUGGGGCUAUCAAAUAAAUCUCCAACUACGUACAAGUCUCAACUAUAGAAGAGCAAUUCAACUUUUGACCAUACACUCUACCAUUGACUAUGAUUGGUAGAAACAAUUAAACUGUAGCUUAUGCCAUCAUUUACAAUUCCCUUUACUUAUGUCAUUCAUCAAAUAUUCACAACAAAGACAACAUGCUCAUAAUAAUCCUAGCCUCAACAGACGAAUAUAUAUAUAUCAGCAAUGCUAUAUCCUAUACANNNNNNNNNNNNNNNNNNNNNNNNNNNNNNNNNNNNNNNNNNNNNNNNNNNNNNNNNNNNNNNNNNNNNNNNNNNGGCUAGACUCGGGUGCAUAGGUAACCGUCACCAUACCUAUACACCGACGCCACAUAGCACAUAGCAAAUAUUGUCCUAAUCCUAUUCUCUCAAGCCAAAGUUAGAUCAAACACUUACCUCGAAAGCUCCAAACUCAACUCACGCCUUUAGGAUAGCUUUACCCCUCGAAUUCGCAACAAAACCGCUUGAAUCUAGUCAUAAGUUACCCAAAUGUAUCAACAAAUGCUAGAUAAACAAAUUUGAAUGCAUAAGAAUGAAUUUUGCGCCCACGUGUUAAAAACCCGAGGUUCGAACCAAACCGGGUUACCCAUUCCCCCACGAGUUCAUAUAAAUAUAUAUAUAUAUAUAUAUAUAUAUAUAUCACAAUGUACCCAUGGCAUAAACACGCCCAACAUCACAGAAAAAUCUAAUAAUGUUACAUAUCCCUCAUGAAACCAUGUGCUCUCAUAACAAGAAUAGGAGAGUAAGUUAAAUACACACAAUUGAAUCUCAUAACAAAAUAUAGUUCAAGGACUCACAUUUAUUAAAGAAAUUCUCUAACUCUCACAAAGAAGUCACAUGCAUACAAAAAAAAUUCAUAUGCCUGCCCAUAAUGUAAAUCUCCACUAAUGUAGGCUCACUAGAUCUAGAAUAAAUUAGGACUUUAUAUAGUUGUAAUGUCGGCUAAGGAAAAGGUAGGAUAUAUUUACGAUUAGUGGUUCACCCUCCUAAGCACUUUAAUACAUCAGAUAAUAAACUUUAAGCGUGAUUUCUUCAAUCCACUUCAGUUUCACAAGCAAGAUCAUUCCCCAAAAUUAUUUUCUCUUUCUCUAAAUUUUUCCUUCUAUUUUUUUUGAAUUUUUCUUUUUUUUUUCUUCCCUUUUUCUUCUUCUUUCAACUAGUCUUUUUUCUUUUUAAAUUUUUGCUAGUGGUGUAUUCUUUUACAAAAUAAGUGCACCUUUCUUCCUUUCAUUGGUUCCAUCCAAAAGCCACCCUACACUUGGUCCUUACUUCUUCUAGCGAUCAUUUCACAAUUAAAGUGCCAUAAGAGGUAAUACGAUCAGAAUUAUGUCAUUUAAGAACAAAAGGUUAUAGGCUCGUAAUGUGGGUGCCAAAUAAAUAAGUAUGGACUCAAAAGAGUUUAAUAGUGACAAAUUUUAUUUAUGAUAAGAAAUAAAGCUCAAAAAAAUCAAAGAAAGCCUAAAAUUAUUUUUCAAACCAAGUCUCACCUAAAAUAUCGCUUCAACUCACAUACAGGUCAAGUUCUAGACUCAAUUACAAUAACAUGGACUACACAAAAUCUCACUUCAAACAUGGCACAUGACUUACUAAGAAAGGCCCCAUUCCGACUCUCAACAAAUGCAAGUAUUCACAACAUCACGAGAUAUUAAGCAUUAAGCCCUAAGUGAGCACAAGUCAAGUAAAACCUUUAACAUCAAACUCAAAGACUUUCUUUUACCAGCAUGCAUACACCUAUUUUCAUAUAAUACUAUCCUAAGUAUAGGGUAGUACAAUCAACACUCAAAGAUGACAACCUUAAGAACCCCCAAAUUGAUAUAAUUUGAGAAAAAAAUUAUCGACUCCUCAAGAGCAUACAACACACAGAUACAUCAAAGUUAUUGGUUUUUGCACAUGAAACUAGUGAGUCAAACAAGAAUAUAUCAGGUCAUUAGAGCCCUGCUAAUGAAUUAGAAUUCAUUUGAAUACACUUGGCAACCUCCAAAAUAAACUAAAAGUCCAAACAUACGAUUACAAAAAACUACAUAACAUUUACUGAAAUUAUACCAAGCUCAAUUAAAACUGUAGACAAACUAAUUGAUAAACAUCGAGCCAUAACAAGACUAUCAGGAUCAAACUUUAAAAUGAGGCUGAAAUUUUGACAUGGGAGCACCAUCUUUCAUUCAACAUUCACAUUUCACUGCAAGGAUUCGAAAAUGUACUUGGAUACAAUCAAAAAUAGCUAUAGAACUUCAGAAGAAGGUGAGAUCAGCAGUAGUUAACAGCAGAACCUCAGUUUCAAUUCACAUUUGGAAUCCAAGAAAACAGCAAAAUAUUAGACCCUUUUUCAAUCCCAAAAAAAUCAGCCAACGUAUAGUGUUUCCAAGCAAAAAACAAACCUAGAAAUUUCAAAACAAACCAUUGUUCGAACUAUCUCAAUCCAGAAUGAGAAUUUAUGAUUUUUCAGAUGUUUCUUCAAGGAAUUUUAACUAAUGGAAGGAUUAGAAGUUUCCAAUCUACUCAGAAUUUUGAAAAAAACUCCAGUUGUUUCAGCUUUUUAGACUUUUUAUCCUUCUUUUUCUACCAUGAAUACCAAAAUAAGGUGCCUUUAUAGGCAAGGCAUUUAGGGCUGUAGAAUGCCACUAGUUUUGCACUUUGCACCUUUCAGUAUUUUCAUUUUAGCUUAGAAACCCUUAGUCAAUUUUUGUUUUUGCUCAAAUACACUUAGUUCAAAUAUCAAAAUUUCAGAAUAAUCCCCAUCCCACCUUCCAGGAAACUUUCCCAGUUAGUUUACAAGAUUAUUUCACCUAAAUCCCCUAAACUAUCCCUUAAACUACAUGUUUUUACCUUUAACCUACCAAAAGAGUCAAGUUAACCCAAGUUCUUUGGGUUGCUGUGUUGGCAAGUUCUAUGGCCUUUGGGCUUCUGAACCCUUGAAGCUCGACUUGUGAUCAAAAACCACAGGCCACAAAUAAGUGAGCCCAGCAAUUCUGCCAAUUUUGGCAUCAAAAGAAAAAUGAAUAGAGCAGGACAAAAGACGAAAUGCAAAUGAUAAACAGGCAAGCAAAAAAAUAAAAAAAAAUCAAAAAAUACUAACGAAGAAAAUAUUAAUUACACUAAUAUGUUGAUAAUUACUAAUAUGACUUAAAUUUAAAAUAUGCAACAUAUAUCAACUCGAACUAGCAAAAGAAGAAGAACGACAUGUGAAGAAAAUGACAGAUGUAACUUGAAAUGCAUGCAAAGAAUGACAGAAAAGAUAAUAGAUAAAAGAGGAAGAAGACAGAAGAAGAUGAACACGGAAAAACAACACAAAAAUGAUGGGAAUCAAAAAAAUACCUAGAAUAGUAGACAACAAGAAGACGGCUUGAACGGACUUCCAUUCUGAUUUCGAGCCAAAGUUGGUGUUUCUCAAAAGGUUCUUGCCAAAAACCAAUGAGAAACAUCAAUUUAGGCCUUAAACGGUCUUUGAAGCUUGAAGAAAUCGAGAGAUUUUUGGUUGUCAUUUUUUUCUACCUCUUUAGAUCUAAAAUUGGCUUAACUUUGUGAUGAUUUGAGGAUUAUUGAUGGUGGAUUUGAAAAUGGGAAGCCAUGGGGUUAUUGUGGUUGAGGUUUGGGACUGAUUGAAGGAGGUUCCGCUGGUGAAAAUGGCGAAUAUCCUCGAGGCGGCGCUAGGGUUAUCUAUGACAGAGAUGAUAGAGAUGGACGGAGGGGGGUUUUGUCUGGACUAAGCUGUUUCUGCAGAUCUUAGGACGGUUUUAAUUGAAAUGAUGAAAGUGUUUUCCACAGUUGGAUGAAUUGAGAUGAAGGGCUCGUAUUAUUUUAAGACUGGGGAACUCUAAAU